rnacentral:rRNA from 1 species
GGACUACUGGGGUAUCUAAUCCUGUUUGAUCCCCACGCUUUCGUGCCUCAGCGUCAAUAACUGUUUAGUAAGCUGCCUUCGCAAUCGGUGUUCUAUGUCAUAUCUAUGCAUUUCACCGCUACAUGACAUAUUCCGCCUACCUCAACAGUAUUCAAGAUAAAUAGUAUCAAUGGCAGUUUCCGGGUUGAGCCCGGAGAUUUCACCACUGACUUAAAUACCCGCCUACACACCCUUUAAACCCAGUGAAUCCGGAUAACGCUUGCACCCUCCGUAUUACCGCGGCUGCUGGCAC